UGGAGACGGCCCCGGGGCGGAGCCUGCGCCGCUGCACGCCCGCGCCCCGCCUCGGCCGCGCCCCCCGCCCACUCCUUCCACUUUCAGAGAAAGCGCGGGCCUCCCAGGGCCCCUGCGAGGGAGAGAAGGCUCUCGGUGACUCCUCGGGGUGGCGGGGAAGUCCAGCCUCCGUAGGCACAAAACCUGGGCCCGGGCCCCGAGGCUUCGCUCCGCCUGCCCUCGGGGAGGUGGGAGGGGCCGCUCCGCGCUGGGGCCUCGCAGCCUUCCCGGGCUUCGCGGCUGGGAGAGAUUCCUCCAGGCCGCUCCACAGGCCCUGUCCCCGCGCAGGAGAAGCUGGUCCUACUCUUGGUCCCCUACCCCGUUCCUCGGGUUCCUUUGCGUGUUCAUCCCUCCCGGGCAAGGGCUUCAAGUCUCGGGGCCUUUCUCCGGCCCGAGCUCCUGAGCAGAGUUGAAGGCCCCCGGCUUCCCGAAGAAGCCCCACCCCAGGGCGUGCACCCAAGUGGAGACUCUGCCCCAGGGACUAGCUGAGGCUGCUCCCCGCAAGUUCCCCACUUCCCGGCGGGCAGAGAACAAGGAGCUCGGGGCUUGGAGUCCGCCGUGUGGCGUUCAGCAAGUCAUUUCACCUCCCUCGACUGCGGAUUCUCCCGUUGCUGCGAGAAUAAAAUAAAAGACUUGAAAUCAG
rnacentral:lncRNA from 10 species